rnacentral:rRNA from 1 species
AUUCCAGCUCCAAUAGCGUAUAUUAAAGUUGUUGCAGUUAAAAAGCUCGUAGUUGGAUUUCUGGCCGAGUGUCCCCAGGCCAGCAUGACGUUUGGUCCUGGGCGCUCUGCCAUCCUUCUGUCAACCUUCGCCUCGUUCAUUCGUGGCGCUGGGGCUCAGAUAUUUUACCUUGAGAAAAUUAGAGUGUUUCAGGCAGGCUUUCGCCGGAAUACAUUAGCAUGGAAUAAUGGAAAAGGACUUCAACCUCUUCUGUUGGUCUGAGAGGCUGUAGUAAUGAUUAAUAGGGAUAGUCGGGGGCAUUCGUACUUAACUGUCAGAGGUGAAAUUCUUGGACUUGUUAAAGACGGACUACUGCGAAAGCAUUUGCCAAGGAUGUUUUCAUUG